rnacentral:rRNA from 1 species
AUGCAAGUCGAGGGGUAGAGGAAGCUUGCUUCCUUGAGACCGGCGCACGGGUGCGUAACGCGUAUGCAACCUACCUUUCACAGAGGGAUAGCCCAGAGAAAAUUUGGAUUAAUACCUCAUAGUAUAGCAGUUUCGCAUGAAACCACUAUUAAAGUCACAACGGUGAAAGAUGAGCAUGCGUCCCAUUAGCUAGUUGGUAAGGUAACGGCUUACCAAGGCAACGAUGGGUAGGGGUCCUGAGAGGGAGAUCCCCCACACUGGUACUGAGACACGGACCAGACUCCUACGGGAGGCAGCAGUGAGGAAUAUUGGACAAUGGGCGCAAGCCUGAUCCAGCCAUGCCGCGUGCAGGAUGACGGUCCUAUGGAUUGUAAACUGCUUUUAUACAGGAAGAAACACUACUUCGUGAAGUAGCUUGACGGUACUGUAAGAAUAAGGAUCGGCUAACUCCGUG